UGCAGGAAAAGAUUGUGAGAUCGCUUAGUUUGAAGACCUCAUUUGAUGAACUAGAUACUUACACUCUGAUGUGGUCAUUGCGUCCGUUUGUAGAAGACGAGAUUAUGAACAGAGCAUGGAAAUGUAUCUACUAAUACACACUUAUUCAAUCAGUCUGUCACUUAUUCAAUCAGUUUUGUUCGAUUAGUUUUUAGUUCGUUACUUUGUUUCCCAUUUAUUGAAAAGAAAGCAAAUACGGGCCCUAUUACAAACACAAGCUUUGUUCACAUGGUUGAUUGGUCUCAAGACUCUCAACUGAAUUGAAUAAACUAAUAUGAUUAGGUUGCUAGUGAUUUUACUAAACAUAUUAGUGAAGAACUCAUGUUUGCAUCUUUGUGUUGGUAAAUCUAUUUAGCUUAUGAGAGUAACAUCUCGUUUUAGUUUUAUAGAUCAUGAGAGUGACAUUAUUAAUUUUUACUGAAAAACAAUGGAUGAUUUUUUUUUUUGAUCAAAAAACAAUGGAUGAUUUUUUUUUUGAUCAAAAAACAAUGGAUGAUUAUGAUACUGUUUUUUGCAGGAAAAGAUUGUGAGAUCGCUUAGUUUGAAGACCUCAUUUGAUGAACUAGAUACUUACACUCUGAUGUGGUCAUUGCGUCCGUUUGUAGAAGACGAGAUUAUGAACAGAGCAUGGAAAUGUAUCUACUAAUACACACUUAUUCAAUCAGUCUGUCACUUAUUCAAUCAGUUUUGUUCGAUUAGUUUGUUACUUUGUUUCCCAUUUAUUGAAAAGAAAGCAAAUACAAG
rnacentral:lncRNA from 1 species